CCUACGGGCGGCAGCAGUGGGGAAUAUUUCGCAAUGGGCGAAAGCCUGACGCAGCGACGCCGCGUGAGGGAUGAAGGUCUUCUGAUCGUAAACCUCUGUCAGCAGGGAAGCACGGUCACUGUGCUAAUCAGCAGUGAAUUGACGGUACCUGCAAAGGAAGCACCGGCUAACUCCGUGCCAGCAGCCGCGGGAAUACGGAGGGUGCGAGCGUUAAUCGGAAGUACUGGGCGUAAAGGGCUCGUAGGCGGUAUGUCAAGUCAAGGGUGAAAUCCCCGCGCUCAACGUGGGAACUGCCUUUGAAACUGGCAAACUUGAGUGGGUGAGAGGAUAGUGGAAUUCGAGGUGUAGGAGUGAAAUCCGUAGAUAUCUGGAGGAACAUCAGGGGCGAAGGCGACUAUCUGGCACAUAACUGACGCUGAGGAGCGAAAGCGUGGGUAGCAAACAGGAUUAGAGACCCGGGUAGUC
rnacentral:rRNA from 1 species